GAGUUAGUACCUUAAUUGGCAAAGGGCUUUCUUGUCGAGAAAGAGCAUGCCGGAUCGUUGCCGGUCUAACUCG
rnacentral:tRNA from 1 species